GGCGGCCGUGCCUAAUACAUGCAAGUCGAACGGUCUUUCUAUGGAAGCUUGCUUCCACUGAGAAGAUAGUGGCGAACGGGUGAGGUAACACGUGGGUAACCCUGCCCAUAAGAGGGGGAUAACAUCCGGAAACGGGUGCUAAUACCGCAUAGUUUCUUGAUCGCAUGAUCGAGAAAGGAAAGACGGCCUUUGUGCUGUCGCUUAUGGAUGGACCCGCGGCGUAUUAGUUAGUUGGUGAGGUAACGGCUCACCAAGACGAUGAUACGUAGCCGACCUGAGAGGGUGAUCGGCCACAUUGGGACUGAGACACGGCCCAAACUCCUACGGGAGGCAGCAGUAGGGAAUCUUCCGCAAUGGACGAAAGUCUGACGGAGCAACGCCGCGUGAGUGAAAGAAGGUUUUCGGAUCGUAAAACUCUGUUGUCAGAGAAGAACAAGUUGGAGAGUAACUGCUCCAGCCUUGACGGUAUCUGACCAGAAAGCCACGGCUAACUACGUGCCAGCCGCGGC
rnacentral:rRNA from 1 species